rnacentral:misc_RNA from 1 species
GAUGAAGAACGUAGCGAAAUGCGAUACUUGGUGUGAAUUGCAGAAUCCCGUGAACCAUCGAGUCUUUGAACGCAAGUUGCGCCCGAAGCCAUUAGGCCGAGGGCACGCCUGCCUGGGCGUCACACAUCGUUGCCCCCCCAUCUACUCCUUCGGGAUUGCGGGGGGCGGAUGAUGGCCUCCCGUGCGCCUCGUCGCGCGGUUGGCAUAAAUGCCAAGUCCUCGGCGACGCACGCCACGACAAUCGGUGGUUGCGAAACCUCGGUUGCCCGUCGUGUGCGGUCGUCGCGCAUCGAGGGCUCGAAAAAAUUGCCGGGCUCCGGCUCGGCUUUCAACGCGACCCCAGGUCAGGCGGGGUUACCCGCUGAAUUUAAGCAUAUCAAUAAGCUGAGGA